GUGCAAACAUGAAGGGAAGAAGCAUCUUGCCACUUACUGUGGUUCAGAUGUGGUGUCCAGAGAAGUAGUUGGGUAACUACAAAAUAGAUGGUGCGCACUCACAUGCAAGAGUCAAGAGAAUAAAAGUGUGGUGGCUUUGCAAUGUGCAAACUUGGCUCAGGUCAACUGCCUUGCCCAGAAUUCGCUUCCCCGUAUGUUGUUGGUUAGGAUCUUCCAUGCGAGAGGGUUGAAGAGAAGCUGCCGCCAUUUCGUGGCUCACUCGCCUUGCUGCUUAUCUGCCGGCUCAUCUUGUUGGGUUUGGUGACAUUAAAACUUCCUCCAGGAAUACACUCUACAGGUUUUCUACUCAGAUUGAUUGGCUACCUUUUGAAACAUGCAGUUAGAGCCAUAUUUUUCUUGGGGUUUUGCAUACUGAGCAUAUAUCUUCUG